rnacentral:misc_RNA from 1 species
UUUCCGUAGGUGAACCUGCGGAAGGAUCAUUAAAAAAUUGGACUCUACGAGAGUCUAUUAAUAAUCCUCACCCUUUGUGAAUUUGUUUGUUUGAAAUAAUUUUUUUAAAAAUUAUUGAAUGUCUUUCCCUAGGUUUCGUUGGCUGUAUGAGCAAGCAUCAGGGGAUGGCAAACAAUAAUCAUUUUAAAAGACCUUUUUUUUAAAUUAAACUUUUUGUAUUCAUUUGUCUAAAAUUAUUUUUAUAAUAUAAAAACAACUUUGACAAUGGAUCUCUUGGUUCUCGCAACGAUGAAGAACGCAGCAAAAUGCGAUAAGUAGUGUGAAUUGCAGAAUACGUGAAUCAUCAAAUCUUCGAACGCAUAUUGCACUUUUUUAGUUUACUAAAAAAGUAUGUCUGUUUGAGUAUCAGUAAAAUAUUCUCAUAAAAAAUUUAUUUUUUAUGGUUAUGAGUGUUUUACAACGAUAACAAGUUGUUUCACUUUAAAUUCUUUGUUAUCAAAAAAAAUCAUUAAACUAAUUUUAAAGAUUUUUUUUUAAAAUUGGAUAAAAUUUUCCCGUAAAAAGGAAUAACCUAAACAAUUUUAGAAAAUUAAAAUUAGGUGAUUUUUUCUGAAUUAAAAAGGAAAAGUUAAAUUAACUUGAUCUCAAAUCAGAUAAGAGUACCGCUGAACUUAGCAUAUCAAUAAGCGGAGGAAAAGAACUAACUAGGAUUCCUUAGUAACGGCGAGUGAAGCGGGAAGAGCUCAAAUUGAAAUCUUCAAGGUUCUACCUUGACGAAUUGUAGUUUAAAGAAGUGUUUCUGUUGGAGUUUUGGUAAAAGUUCUUUGGAAAGGACAUCAUAGGAGGGUGAGAAUCCCGUAUUUGACCAUUUCUUCCAGCUGUGUGAUACACUUUCAAAGAGUCGGAUUGUUUGGGAAUGCAGUCCAAAAUGGGUGGUAAAUUUCAUCUAAAGCUAAAUAUUGGCGAGAGACCGAUAGCGAACAAGUACCGUGAGGGAAAGAUGAAAAGAACUUUGAAAAGAGAGUUAAACAGUACGUGAAAUUGUCAAAAGGGAAGCGUUUGACACCAGUGUUGUUUUCUCGAAAAUCAAUUAAAAAUGGCGGGAUUUUGUGUUGUAUUGACUUUAUCAGCUUCUCUGCACAUUUUUUUCUGUCUUUUUUAAUGCACUUUUCGUUUAACAAGUCAACAUCAAUUUCUUUUGUUGUAAAAAGAGUCAUUGGAAGGUGGCUUUCCUUUCGGAGAAAGUGUUUAUAGCCUUUGACUUCUGCAAUCGGAGAGAUUGAGGUCUGCAGCGUAGAUCCUUCGGGGUUAGAUACAUUUGUGCUAAGUUAUAAGCCUUUCAUAGACAACUUGUUGACUAUAUCAGUCAUGUAGCUUACUCGCUUAUGUCAUUUUACCUACGCUUAGGAUGUUG